GCCGCGUGAGUGAUGAAGGCCUGCGGGUCGUAAAACUCUGUCCUCAAGGAAGAUAAUGACGGUACUUGAGGAGGAAGCCCCGGCUAACUACGUGCCAGCAGCCGCGGUAAUACGUAGGGGGCUAGCGGUAUCCGGAUUUACUGGGCGUAAAGGGUGCGUAGGCGGUCUUUCAAGUCAGGAGUGAAAGGCUACGGCUCAACCGUAGUAAGCUCUUGAAACUGGGAGACUUGAGUGCAGGAGAGGAGAGUGGAAUUCCUAGUGUAGCGGUGAAAUGCGUAGAUAUUAGGAGGAACACCAGUUGCGAAGGCG
rnacentral:rRNA from 1 species